UUGUCCAUCAAGAUUGUGCUCAGAGC
rnacentral:piRNA from 1 species